CAAGACAGAGAGCAGAUGGAGAAAGGAAGAUCAGCAUGGCACCCAGAGCCCAAAACCAGCCCCAGUGUCUUCCCGCUGAGCCUCAGGAACAGCGACAUAGACGGGCAAGUGGUCAUGGCCUGCCUGGUCCGGGGAUUCUUCCCGGAAGAGCCCGUGUCAGUGACUUGGAACCCCAGCAAGGACGGCGCGUCCAUCAGGAACUACCCUGCAGUGAAGUCUGCUUCUGGGAACCUGUACACCAUGAGCAGCCAGCUGACCCUGCCGGCCAGCGAGUGCCCCAAUGGCGCGUCCAUGGAAUGCCGUGUGGAGCACUACUCCACCGCCAGCCCGCCCGUGACCGUGCCCUGCCAGACAGAAUGUCCUGAUUGUCCCGCAUGCAAACAGCCCCAACUGUCACUGCACAAGCCCGCCCUCGAGGACCUGCUUCUGGGCUCCAACGCCAGCAUCACAUGCACACUGAGCGGUUUGAAAAACCCCGACGGUGCCAAGUUCUCCUGGUCGCCCUCGGGUGGGAAGGAGGCCAUCCAGAAGCCCCCUGAGCGUGACUUGUGCGGCUGCUACAGUGUGUCCAGUGUCCUUCCAGGCUGCGCCGAGCCGUGGAACAGCGGGGAGACCUUCUCCUGCACCGCCACCCACCCCGAGAUCAAGAGCUCAAAAACUGCCACCAUCUCCAAAGAGUCAGGGAACAUUUUCCGGCCCCAGGUCCACCUGCUGCCGCCGCCGUCGGAGGAGCUGGCCCUCAAUGAGCUGGUGUCGCUGACGUGCCUCGUGCGAGGCUUCCGCCCCAAGGACGUGCUGGUGCGAUGGCUGCAAGGGUCCCAGGAGCUGCCCCGUGAGCAGUACCUGACCUGGGGCCCCCUGCCGGAGCCCGGCCAGAGUGUCACCACCUUCGCCACCACCAGCGUGCUGUGGGUGUCGGCCGAGGACUGGAAGCAGGGGGAGAAGUUCUCCUGCAUGGUGGGGCACGAGGCCCUGCCCCUGGCCUUCACCCAGAAGACCAUCGACCGCCUGGCGGGUAAACCCACCCACGUCAACGUGUCUGUGGUCAUGUCGGAUGUGGAAGGCGUCUGCUACUGAACUGCCCACCCGCCCCUCUCUGAAUAAACUCUGUACUGGCCCAAAGCAGC